rnacentral:rRNA from 1 species
UGGGGAAUUUUGGACAAUGGGCGAAAGCCUGAUCCAGCAAUGCCGCGUGUGUGAAGAAGGCCUUCGGGUUGUAAAGCACUUUUGUCCGGAAAGAAAUCCUUGGCUCUAAUACAGUCGGGGGAUGACGGUACCGGAAGAAUAAGCACCGGCUAACUACGUGCCAGCAGCCGCGGUAAUACGUAGGGUGCAAGCGUUAAUCGGAAUUACUGGGCGUAAAGCGUGCGCAGGCGGUUUGCUAAGACCGAUGUGAAAUCCCCGGGCUCAACCUGGGAACUGCAUUGGUGACUGGCAGGCUAGAGUAUGGCAGAGGGGGGUAGAAUUCCACGUGUAGCAGUGAAAUGUGUAGAGAUGUGGAGGAAUACCGAUGGCGAAGGCAGCCCCCUGGGCCAAUACUGACGCUCAUGCACGAAAGCGUGGGGAGCAAACAGGAUUAGAUACCCUGGUAGUCCACGCCCUAAACGAUGUCAACUAGUUGUUGGGGAUUCAUUUCCUUAGUAACGUAGCUAACGCGUGAAGUUGACCGCCUGGGGAGUACGGUCGCAAGAUUAAAACUCAAAGGAAUUGACGGGGUCAUAGCUGUUUCCU